rnacentral:rRNA from 1 species
CAAACGCUGGCGGCGUGCCUAACACAUGCAAGUCGAACGCGAACGUCCCUUCGGGGGCUAUUAGAGUGGCGAACGGGUGAGUAACACGUGGGUAAUCUGCCUCUGGAUGGGGGACAACAGCUCGAAAGGGCUGCUAAUACCGCAUAAUGCUACAGUUUCGAAAGGAACAGUAGUUAAAGGUGGCCUCUUCUUGAAAGCUACCGUCUAGAGAUGAGCCCGCGUCCCAUUAGCUUGUUGGUAGGGUAACGGCCUACCAAGGCUGCGAUGGUUAGCUGGUCUGAGAGGAUGAUCAGCCACACUGGAAAUGAGACACGGUCCAGACUCCUACGGGAGGCAGCAGUGGGGAAUCUUGGACAAUGGGGGAAACCCUGAUCCAGCAACGCCGUGUGAGUGAUGAAGGUUUUCGGAUCGUAAAGCUCUGUCAGUGGGGAAGAAAUCAACAGGCAUCAGAUCCCUGUUGUUGACGGUACCCACAAAGGAAGCACCGGCUAACUCC